ACGCUCGACACCUACGGUAGGCAGCAGUGGGGGAUAUUGCACAAUGGGGGAAACCCUGAUGCAGCGACGCCGCGUGAAGGAAGAAGGCCUUGGGUUGUAAACUUCUGUCGUACGGGACGAUAGUGACGGUACCGUACAAGAAAGCCACGGCUAACUACGUGGCAGCAGCCGCGGUAAUCUGAGCGGGCUGGCAAGGC
rnacentral:rRNA from 1 species